rnacentral:rRNA from 1 species
GACGAACGCUGGCGGCGUGCUUAACACAUGCAAGUCGGACGGUAAGGCCCUUCGGGGUACACGAGUGGCGAACGGGUGAGUAACACGUGGGUGAUCUGCCCUGCACUUCGGGAUAAGCCUGGGAAACUGGGUCUAAUACCGGAUAGGACUCCGGACUGCAUGGUCUGGGGUGGAAAGCUUUUGCGGUGUGGGAUGGGCCCGCGGCCUAUCAGCUUGUUGGUGGGGUGAUGGCCUACCAAGGCGACGACGGGUAGCCGGCGUGAGAGGGAGACCGGCCACAGUGGGAUUGGGAGGCGGCCCAGACUACUAAGGGAGGCAGCAGUGGGGAAUGUUGCACAAUGGGCGAAGUCCUGAAGCAGCGACGCCGCGUGGGGGAUGACGUCCUUCGGGUUGUAAACCUCUUUCAGCAUCGACGAAGCGAAAGUGACGGUAGGUGCAGAAGAAGGACCGGCCAACUACGUGCCAGCCGCCGCCGUAA